rnacentral:rRNA from 1 species
GGGUUGUGAGGUUAAGCGACUAAGCGUACACGGUGGAUGCCCUGGCAGUCAGAGGCGAUGAAGGACGUGCUAAUCUGCGAUAAGCGUCGGUAAGGUGAUAUGAACCGUUAUAACCGGCGAUUUCCGAAUGGGGAAACCCAGUGUGAUUCGUCACACUAUCGUUAACUGAAUACAUAGGUUAACGAAGCGAACCGGGGGAACUGAAACAUCUAAGUACCCCGAGGAAAAGAAAUCAACCGAGAUUCCCCCAGUAGCGGCGAGCGAACGGGGAGGAGCCCAGAGCCUGAAUCAGCAUGUGUGUUAGUGGAAGCGUCUGGAAAGGCGCGCG